UGAAAUAUGUGACAGAUGGGUGCACCAGGACACUCUUUGACCACCAGAUUGAGAGUAUUUCGCCUGAAAGUUGUGAGGCACCUUCCUCGUCACAGGUGAUGGAGGCAGUGGCAGGCGUAGAUGGUACUGAACCAGAUCAGAGGGAACUUGCAAGUCAUAGCAAGCCUGAAAGCUGCGAGGCACCUUCCUCGUCACAGGUGAUGGAGGCAGUGGCCGGCAUAGAUGGUACUGAACCAUAUCAGAGGGAACUUGCAAGUCAUAGCAAGGUCAGUUGUCUGUAUGUGUUAAAUGUUUACAAUAGUAUUAUAUGGACUUGAACUUCUGAGCAAAGAAAUUGACUUCACUGGGUUUUGAGUCUAGGAGCUGCAUGAUCAGCCCUAUAAUGGUUGUCUCCCAAUUUGUCAAUAUCUUUGUUUGUGAAGUACAAGUCAGACACUUCCUGUAUCCUUUACAGUGUGUUUCGGAAUUGGUACGUAUGAUAAGUAUAAAGUAUAACUAAUGGAACAUAUUUGCUGUCAAACCAUAGAUGUGUCUUUCAAGGAUUUUUUCAGAUGGCUUGAAAUUGAACAUUGAAUUAAGCUCGCUUAGAAUUUCCUUCAGGACCUGUAUAACAUGGUAUUAUUGUCUCACCUGAACAAAGUACAAAA